AAAUGGAUAUUCUCGUUCACUUUCGUGACAUUUAUAUUCGUGUACUAUUGUGUACUAGAAGUCAGUUCCCGUUUUAUCAUUAUUGGAAUCGAUUGGAAUGGCUCUUAGCUGAAGCUUCUCUCUUCUCUGAAGCUUAUUCUGAAGACUGAACAACAAGGGAAGAGGUAUAAAGCUUUGUCAAGCUUGUUAAGGUCAGAUAUUUUUGUGUGGGCCCUAUGGCCGGCUAUGCUAUCAAGUCUUGUUCAUGUUUGGCAAGAAUGUAGGUAGACUAUAGUUUCAUCAUUAAUAUGGUGGAUCAAGUGAAGAGUGUGAGCUAGAGAACUUGGUGCUGCCAUCAUCAGCUCGUCGACAAUGACACUAUAACCGAGAAAUUUAAUAUGUAUAGAUCUACACGUAUUUAAAAUGUCUACUUCUCUGUACAGGAGCAAUGGCUAAUAUCCAGCUAUCCCAACAGUGCUCCUCUUGGCUAUACUAACGGACGAGACUGGACAGUUUGAGACACAGGACUGGAGUAUGACCUGCUCAUUCGAGCGUUGCUGGGUAGCUCAGAGACAUCAAGAGAAUCUACGUUUUCUCAAGCAAUGAGUUACGAGUUGGGGCCUAGAAUCAGAGAAGUCCAGCAGCCUGCUAAAUCUUUUUGAAACGUAAUUUGAAGGCAUUCAAUCAUCCUGAAGUUGCCCUGGGUCACUGUAAUUGUGCUGCAGCACAACUGGCAACUCCCCAGGCCUUUGUGAAGCAGCUCCCUAUGUGCAUCUUUUGUGUACUCACUCUGUGCAUUUUCUGUGUACAAAUUUCUAUUAUUGAUUUAUUAAAUAUUUUUGCCGACCACAAA